rnacentral:rRNA from 1 species
UACGUAGGGUGCGAGCGUUAAUCGGAAUUACUGGGCGUAAAGUGUGCGCAGGUGGCCGCGCAAGUCGAGUGUGAAAUCCCCCGAGCUUAACUUGGGAAUUGCGCUCGAAACUACGUGGCUAGAGUGUGGCAGAGGGAGGUGGAAUUCCACGUGUAGCGGUGAAAUGCGUAGAGAUGUGGAGGAACACCAAUGGCGAAGGCAGCCUCCUGGGCCAACACUGACGCUCAUGCACGAAAGCGUGGGGAGCAAACAGG